AGGUUAACCGUAUAGGGGAGCCGUAGAGAAAUCGAGUCUUAAUAGGGCGUUUAGUUGCUGGGUAUAGACCCGAAACCAGGCGAUCUAUCCAUGAGCAGGUUGAAGGUUGGGUAACACUAACUGGAGGACCGAACCCACUGUCGUUGAAAAGCCAGGGGAUGACUUGUGGAUAGGGGUGAAAGGCUAAUCAAGCCUGGUGAUAGCUGGUUCUCCCCGAAAGCUAUUUAGGUAGCGCCUCGGACGAAUACCAUAGGGGGUAGAGCACUGUUUCGGCUAGGGGGUCAUCCCGACUUACCAAACCGAUGCAAACUCCGAAUACCUAUGAGUACUAUCCGGGAGACAGACUGCGGGUGCUAACGUCCGUAGUCAAGAGGAAAACAAUCCAGACCGCCAGCUAAGGCCCCAAAAUCAUAGUUAAGUGGGAAACGAUGUGGGAAGGCAUAGACAGCUAGGAGGUUGGCUUAGAAGCAGCCACCCUUUAAAGAAAGCGUAAUAGCUCACUAGUCGAGUCGGCCUGCGCGGAAGAUGUAACGGGGCUAAAACUAUGUGCCGAAGCUGCGGAUUUGACAUUAGUCAAGUGGUAGGGGAGCGUUCUGUAAGCCGAUGAAGGUGUGUUGAGAAGCAUGCUGGAGGUAUCAGAAGUGCGAAUGCUGACGUGAGUAACGACAAAACGGGUGAAAAACCCGUUCGCCGAAAGACCAAGGGUUCCAGUCCAACGUUAAUCGGGGCUGGGUGAGUCGACCCCUAAGGCGAGGCCGAAAGGCGUAGUCGAUGGGAAAAUGGUUAAUAUUCCAUUACUUCUGUGUAAUGCGAUGAGAGGACGGAGAAGGCUAAAUCAGCCUGGCGUUGGUUGUCCAGGUGAAAGGAUGUAGGCAUGUAUCUUAGGCAAAUCCGGGGUACUCUAUGCUGAGAUCUGAUAGCAAGCUGUACUUGUACAGCGAAGUGGUUGAUGCCAUGCUUCCAGGAAAAGUCUCUAAGCUUCAGUUACACAGGAAUCGUACCCGAAACCGACACAGGUGGUCAGGUCGAGUAGACCAAGGCGCUUGAGAGAACUCUGCUGAAGGAACUAGGCAAAAUGGUACCGUAACUUCGGGAGAAGGUACGCUGUUGUUGGUGAUGGAACUCGCUUCCUGAGCUGACGACAGCCGCAGAAACCAGGCCGCUGCAACUGUUUAUUAAAAACAUAGCACUCUGCAAACACGAAAGUGGACGUAUAGGGUGUGAUGCCUGCCCGGUGCUGGAAGGUUAAUUGAUGGGGUUAGCGUAAGCGAAGCUCUUGAUCGAAGCCCCAGUAAACGGCGGCCGUAACUAUAACGGUCCUAAGGUAGCGAAAUUCCUUGUCGGGUAAGUUCCGACCUGCACGAAUGGCAUAAUGAUGGCGGCGCUGUCUCCAGCAGAGGCUCAGUGAAAUCGAAAUCGCUGUGAAGAUGCAGUGUACCCGCGGCUAGACGGAAAGACCCCGUGAACCUUUACUGCAGCUUGACACUGAACUUUGACCUUACUUGUGUAGGAUAGGUGGGAGGCUUUGAAGCUGGAACGCUAGUUCCAGUGGAGCCGUCCUUGAAAUACCACCCUGGUAAUGUUGAGGUUCUAACUCUGUCCCGUGAUCCGGGACGAGGACCGUGUCUGGUGGGUAGUUUGACUGGGGCGGUCUCCUCCUAAAGAGUAACGGAGGAGUACGAAGGUGCGCUCAGCGUGGUCGGAAAUCACGCGUAGAGUAUAAAGGCAAAAGCGCGCUUAACUGCGAGACCCACAAGUCGAGCAGGUACGAAAGUAGGUCUUAGUGAUCCGGUGGUUCUGUAUGGAAGGGCCAUCGCUCAACGGAUAAAAGGUACUCUGGGGAUAACAGGCUGAUACCGCCCAAGAGUUCAUAUCGACGGCGGUGUUUGGCACCUCGAUGUCGGCUCAUCUCAUCCUGGGGCUGAAGCAGGUCCCAAGGGUAUGGCUGUUCGCCAUUUAAAGAGGUACGCGAGCUGGGUUUAGAACGUCGUGAGACAGUUCGGUCCCUAUCUACCGUGGGCGCUGGAAAUUUGAGAGGAUCUGCUCCUAGUACGAGAGGACCAGAGUGGACGAACCUCUGGUGUACCGGUUGUGACGCCAGUCGCAUCGCCGGGUAGCUAUGUUCGGAAGGGAUAACCGCUGAAAGCAUCUAAGCGGGAAGCCUACCUCAAGAUAAGAUUUCCCUAGGACUUUAUGUCCUCUAAAGAGCCGUUCGAGACUAGGACGUUGAUAGGUUGGAUGUGGAAGCAUAGUGAUAUGUGAAGCUGACCAAUACUAAUUGCUCGUGAGGCUUGACUAUACAACACCCAAGCAGUUG
rnacentral:rRNA from 1 species